rnacentral:lncRNA from 1 species
AGAGGAGCCUAGAGGGUUGCGAACCCACGAGGGGAUGAGGCCUGGUCUUGUGGAAACUGAACUUAGCUUCGCGGGCCGACAGCUCUGGCCUAGGGUGCCAGUGUUC